rnacentral:lncRNA from 1 species
GGCAUCAGGCCCACCCUCACCGCACAGGUGGGGCCUCAGGCCUGGGAGCGUGACCGACUGGCCCCCAGUCUUUCCACCAGCCAGGAGUAAGGUCGGGACUAGACUCCUGACUCGCUGACCACCAUACCUACAGCCAUUCCCUCACUCUCCUUCAAUGACCUCAAGUGGGGGCAAAAGAGCGGCUGCCAUGACCUCAAGGACUCUCAGAUGCAUGGCAAACGGCAGGUCUGACCGUGCCGGAAAGGGUCCAGGGGAAGGCUGCUGCCUCCAUCCUCGGGCCAGGACAUGAAGGGGCAUCAACGUCAGGGCAGAAAACAGGAGCAAUGGGAGGUCCUGAGUGAAUCCUGCAACAGAGAAACUCUUGCCUGCACCCUCUCCUCUGUCCCCCCUCCACCGCCCCAUCUCAAUGCCACAGGCUGAACCGGAGACCUGUCUUGAUGCCAGAGGGGGCCAGCAAUUGCCCAAAGAAUGCGGAGCUCCCCCUGGUUUGUUGCUGGGGGCCCUUAAUCCCAGUGCUGUGCUGGAGCUGGCUUGUAACAUUCAAUAGAACCAAGCGUUAAAUGUGCUCAGAUUUUGUGAGCCAGUUGUAAAUAUAGGCAUUAUUCACAAUUAAUCAUAUGAACUUAUAAUCAAAUAUGUUAACAAACACCCCUUCCCAAUGAGUUUUACUACUUUUGCUAUUUUCUAUGCUUUGAGGGUUACUUGCAUCUAUUAUAUCAAUGCCGUGGGAAGAGUAUAUAGUGACAGCUACUGGGCAUCUCUUCCCAAGCCCACAAUCUGUGACGUCACAUUGAAAGCUUGGGAUUGGCCAUGAUAGGAGUAUUUACACCAUGGAAGUUGGCAAACACUGCAAAUCAGAGCUUGUGUUAUUGUUUUGUUGAUUUUCUAGGCUUAAGAAAGUAAUAAAAAAUUGUUAAUAGUACAGAUUCAACUUAUAAGUGGGUCAUGUCUGGGGCCAUUUGUAGCAGUCUGGCUCUAAUCGGGAGACAGAAAUCACACAGCAGGUUAAACAGGGGAAAUUUAAGUUAAAAUUAUUAACAGUUGUAAAACAGUAAGAUAGGCCGGGCGCGGUGGCUUAUGCCUGUAAUCCUAGCACUUUGGGAGGCCGAGGUGGGCGAAUCAUGAGGUCAGGAGUUCGAGACCAGGCUGACCAACACAGUGAAACCCCAUCUGUACUAAAAAUACAAAAAUUAGCCAGGCCUGGUGGCAGGUGCCUGUAAUCCCAGCUACUCGGGAGGGUGAGGCAGGAGAAUCGCUUGAACCCAGGAGGCAGAGGUUGCAGUGAGCCGAGAUCAUACCCCUGCACUCCAGCCUGGGCAACAGAGCAAGACUCUGUCUCAAAAAAAAAGAGUAAGAUAAAAAGAAGCUCUAUGCAGUAUCCUAGGGCUGAGGGAGCUCCCAAAGUAAAAAUGAAGUUGUUUGGGGUUCAGACAUAGCUGGAGAGGGUGUGGUUCAGCCACUGGAUAGCAAUGAAGUUUAGCCCAGAGCACACAGCUACAGCUGGUUUGGAGUUGGUGGACACACAAUAGGCACCCUCUGGAGGGCAGGCAGGGAACAGGUGAUUAGUAACCAAAGGCGUGAACUGCAGUGGGAAACUGAGUGCCCCCAGGGCAGAAGGCCUUCUGGGUGCUGAGGUUGCUUGGCGGGUGGAGAGGUUGCAGAGGAAGUGGCAGGCUGCGUAGUGAGGUCGGAGGCCAGCUGCUGUGUAGACAGUCACCGCCAGGCAUGGCCACAGAGUCAUUGUGUUCUGGCUCUGAGGCUCCGUCCGACUCCACGGGAUAGUCUCCGCUUGGCUGACCUUCCUGGAAAUUACAGGAAAGUCCUUCCAGCACCGUCUACUGAGAAAGCUUCACAUCCUGUUCACUUUAAAUUCAAAAUGGUUAAAAGGUUCCAAUCUUUGUCCUAAAGCACAUAUUGAAAGGUGCAUUCAGAGCUGAGAUGCAAUAGAUUAAAAACUGCCUGUGUGAGUUUCCUGUGGCUGCUGUAACAAAUUACCAAAAACCUGGUGCUUACAACAAGGCACAUUUGUUCUCUUACAGUUUUGGAGGUCAGAAGUCCCAAAUCAGUUUCAGCAGGAUGGAAUCAGGGUGCCAUGAGGGCCGCUCCCUCCAGAGGCUCCAGGGGGGUCUGUUUCCUUGCCUUUUCCAGCUUCUAGAGCUGCAUUCCUUGGCUCGUGGCCCCUUCCUCCGCCUUCAAAGGCAGUGGCUUAGCGUCUUCAAAAUUCUCUCCACGCUGUCUUCUCAUGGCCUUCUCUUCUAUGUCAGAUUUCCCUCUAUCCUCUCUUAUCAGGACAUUUGUGAUUGCAUUUGGGACCCACCCAUGUAAUCCAGGAUAAUGUCUCCUUCUCAAGAUCCUCAACUCAAUCACAUCUGCAAAGUCCCUUUUGCCACAUAAGAUACAUUUGCAGGCUUCAUAGAUUCAGAUCUGCGUAUAUUAUUUGAGGGCCAUUAUUUAACCUACUACACUGAUGCACCCCUAUAUUGUGACAAGCAAAAAAAUUGAGGAUUUAUUCUUCCAGUGCUUAAAAACUGUGGCCUGAUUGAUUCAGCAAGGAAGUCACUUGUGACAUUGAUGAAUAAGUGAACUUCUGAUAUUCGCCUUCAUUGUCUCACUUUUACUUGUUAACAUAAAUGAAAAUAUCAGCCUCAUGAGAAUGAAACGAAAUGAAAAUAGCCAACCCUCAUGUGUAAAGCACACUUAGUCAUCAUAUGCAAACAGACAUAGGCUGUAGAUACAAGAGUUUGGAAAAACUCAACAAAGGCAUUCUGUGAGGAUCAACCAACUAUAUGCAGCUUAUAAUAAAGGAUAUUGUAUCAUUAUGUUUUGUUGUACAUUCUUUAUAUCAGUAACAUUUAUAAUAAAUUAUCUCUUCAUUUAUAUGUGUAUGUACACCCCACACACACACACACACACACACACACACACACACACACACACACACAAUCUUUCCCUCCAGAGGGCCAGCUGUUGAGCAUUUAUCAGCCCACCACUGCUUAAUACUUAUUUCCAGUAGGGAGGUAGAGGGAGCCUAAGGCCCCCGAAAAGGUAAAGUGCUCUUUGCACCUGAGGGUGGACCUUGCAGUCCCGAGCUCUAUGGUGAGCCUGUCACCCACCGUGGUCAGCUACCUCCAUCCACAGAUGGUUAAAUGGAUCUGGAUCAACCACCUCCGAGGAUGCCUGUGUUUCAGCGGAAGAUGAGGCUAGUGUGAACUUGGCCUUUACAUCCUUCUCCGCAGAGCACUGCAAGCAGCCAGUCCCACUGGAACAUAAGAUGAAGCUUUUGUUCCCAUGGCUGGAUACACUUUGGAUCUUGGAAUGCAAUAAUUACUUCAGCUGGAUCUGGUUCGUGGAGUACUUGGCCAGGGCUCUGCCUCAUGCCAUGGUCCUACAAGAUAUGUGAGGAGGUGGACAUCUUUGCGUAGCCCUCCUCCAGAGGCAAGUGGAUUCCUUCCAUAACCCAGAGAAGGCCGCUUGGGAAUGAGGCUGAGAAGCCAGACUUUUUGGCACACAAAGAAAAAGGGAGUUUUCAAAGUUGCCGCAAAUCAUGCAGGAAGAGAAAACAGGACAUUAGUGGACACUGAUUCUUCCCCUCUGCUGAACUCUGAGUCCAGUUUAAAUCUUUAAUAACAUAACACAUGGAGAAAAUUGCU